GCACAAGCGGUGGAGCAUGUGGUUUAAUUCGAAGCAACGCGCAGAACCCUUACCAGCCCUUGACAUGGGCGUCGCGGGUUCUUGGAGACAGGAACCUUCAGUUCGGCUGGACGCCACACAGGUGCUGCAUGGCUGUCGUCAGCUCGUGCCGUGAGAUGUUGGGUUAAGUCCCGCAACGAGCGCAACCCUCGCCCUUAGUUGCCAUCGGUUCGGCCGGGCACUCUAGGGGAACUGCCGGUGACAAGCCGGAGGAAGGCGGGGAUGACGUCAAGUCCUCAUGGCCCUUAUGGGCUGGGCUACACACGUGCUACAAUGGCGGUGACAGUGGGCAGCGAGGCAGCGAUGCCGAGCCAAUCCCAAAAAGCCGUCUCAGUUCGGAUUGUUCUCUGCAACUCGAGAGCAUGAAGGUGGAAUCGCUAGUAAUCGUGGAUCAGCAUGCCACGGUGAAUACGUUCCCGGGCCUUGUACACACCGCCCGUCACACCAUGGGAGUUGGUUUUACCCGAAGCCGGUGCGCUAACCUUUGGGAGGCAGCCGACCAC
rnacentral:rRNA from 1 species